rnacentral:rRNA from 1 species
ACUAAUUCUAGCCCAAACUAUAUAAACUCAAUCAUACCCCUACAUAAACCAAAACAUUUUCCCAUAUAAAGUAUUGGAGAAAAAAAUUAUAUCAAGGAGCUAUAGAGCUAGUACCGUAAGGGAAAGAUGAAAGAUUAAUUAAAAGUAAAAACAAGCAAAGACUAAACCUUGUACCUUUUGCAUAAUGAAUUAACUAGAAAAAUCUUAGCUAAACGAAUUAAAGUCAAAACCCCCGAAACCAAACGAGCUACCUAAAAACAAUUAUUUGAACUAACCCGUCUAUGUAGCAAAAUAGUGGGAUGAUUUCUAGGUAGAGGUGAAAAGCCUAACGAGCUUGGUGAUAGCUGGUUACCCAAAAAAUGAAUUUAAGUUCAACUUUAAGCUUACCAUAAGAAUAUAAAAUCUAAAUGUAAGCUUAAAAUAUAGCCAAAAGAGGGACAGCUCUUUAGGAACGGAAAAAACCUUUCAUAGUGAANNNNNNNNNNNAUGACAUAACCAUUGUAGGCCUAAAAGCAGCCAUCAAUAAAGAAAGCGUUCAAGCUCAACAUUAAAAUUAAUCAAUUUAAUACUUAACUAUAAAUUCCUAUAUUAUAUAUUGGGUUAAUCUAUUACUUCAUAGAUGAGACACUGUUAAUAUGAGUAACAAGAAUAUUAUUCUCCAAGCACAAGCCUAUAACAACUCGGAUAACCAUUGUUAGUUAAAGGAAUUUAGACUAUAACUUUAAAUUUAAUAACCUAAAAUUUCAACCGUUAAUCCAACACAGGAGUGCUUUAAGGAAAGAUUAAAAAGAAUAAAAGGAACUCGGCAAAUACGAGCCCCGCCUGUUUACCAAAAACAUCACCUCUAGCAUUACAAGUAUUAGAGGCAUUGCCUGCCCAGUGACUAAAGUUAAACGGCCGCGGUAUCUUGACCGUGCAAAGGUAGCAUAAUCACUUGUUCCUUAAUUAGGGACUAGCAUGAACGGCUAAACGAGGGCUCAACUGUCUCUUAUUCUCAAUCAGUGAAAUUGACCUUCCAGUGAAGAGGCUGGAAUACAACAAUAAGACGAGAAGACCCUAUGGAGCUUCAAUUAACUAGCUUAAUUAUCAAAACAUUAACCUAAUGGACUAAAAAUGAAAACAUAAGCUAAAAAUUUCGGUUGGGGUGACCUCGGAGAAUAAAAAAUCCUCCGAAUGAUUUUAGCAUAGACUAAUAAGCCAAAGCAACUUACUAAUCCUAUUGACCCAAAGUACUUUGAUCAACGGACCAAGUUACCCUAGGGAUAACAGCGCAAUCCUAUUUAAGAGUUCAUAUCGACAAUUUAGGGUUUACGACCUCGAUGUUGGAUCAGGACAUCCCAAUGGUGCAGAAGCUAUUAAUGGUUCGUUUGUUCAACGAUUAAAGUCCUACGUGAUCUGAGUUCAGACCGGAGUAAUCCAGGUCGGUUUCUAUCUAUUCACAAUUUCUCCCAGUACGAAAGGACAAGAGAAAUAGAGCCACCUUAUAUACAAGCGCUCUCAACCCAAUUUAUGAACAAAAUCUUAAUAAAAUAGUUAUGUAUAACUAUAAUUACCUAGACAAGGUU